CCAUAGUGCUGAGUAUGUACUCAAACGAGAUCAAUGCUAGCUCCGUGUGCUGGAUGGAAGUCCCAGUUUCCUUGGGAUAAACUGCAAACUCCUGGUGGUGACUCAGGAGAAGGACCACCCUGAUGAGGGCCCUCUGGACUGUCCCAGGUAGUGAUGCCAAGUGGGGAAGUCCCUGGGUGAUCGAAGAAUGGUGAUCACAGUCAAGACCCAAAGGAUUUUAUGAUGGAGACAAGAAAUCUGCUUGGUACCAUGAAGCAAUUGGCAUGCCGAGUUUCAAUGAAGAAAGCCCAAUUUUGUCAGGAGGAAAUUGCCUAUCGAGGCUAUAAAUUAUGCCAAGGUAAGUGUAGCCUCUUCUUGGCAUGGAAACAAGCCAUCCUACAAAUACCUGUUCCAACCACCAAGAAACUGGUACAUGAGUUCCUAGGGGUUGUAGGGUAUUGUCAGAUACUCUUGGCCCUUGCACUCAGCCACUGCUGGAGGGACUGAACCAUUAAAAUGGACUGCGAAAAACAAGAGGCAUUCCAAGCUUUAAAAGAGACCCUGAUGUUAGCUCUGGUUUCGGCAUUUCCAUGCAUAACUAAGUCAUUCAGACUUAUCUUACAUAAGGCCAGGGGCAUAACAAAGACGGUACUCACCCAAGAGAGAGACCCCUGGAAAAGGCCAGUGACCUAUUUGUCAAAAAGACUGGACCCUGUGGCCUAUGGGUGGCUCUCCUGCUUAAGGACAAUGGCUGCUAAAGCUAUCUUGGUACAAGGAUCUAAUGUGUACACACUGAGCCAAGAGCUAUGGAUAACUGCCCCACAUGCCACGGAUGUAUGAUCUGAGGGGCCGUGGAUUAUGGGAUGUCAAAUUCCCAUAUCACCCAGUACCAAAGCCUCCCCCUCAUUCAGCCCAGAAUCUUUCUGCCCCACUCACACCAUAAAUCUGGCCACCCUGUUACCAGAUGACAGCCCAGGAAAAGUGAUCCAUAACUGCCAGGACUUCCUUGAUCUCACCCAAGCCUCACAGCCUGAUCUUCGAGACACGCCCCUGGAUGGAGUGAAAAUGACUCUGUUCUCAGAUGGAAGCAGCUUUGUGGAACAAGGGGUCAGUAUACCUGGAGCAGCACCCACUACCCAAUGGGAGGUCAUGUGGACCUAAGCCCUCCCUGCAGGAACCUCUGCUCAAAAGGCAGAACUGAUAGCCCUCAAACAAGCCUUGCGAUGGGAAAGAUGAAAGAGGAUCAAUGUGUACAUGGACAGCAGGUAUGCAUUUGCCACCAUUCAUGUUCAAGCCAUGCUGUACAAAGAAUGGGGACUUUUGACAUCAGCUGGGAAGGAAAUUAAAAAUAGAGAAAAAUUCUGGCUUUAUUGGAAGCUGUUUGGUUCCCCCUGGAAAUAGCAAUGAUGUGCAACAGAGGACACCAAAAAGGACACCCAAGACAGAGAAACUGACUGGCUGAUUGAACAGCCUGUGAAGCUGCCUAAGACCCUAUGGAGGCUAUCAAAGCCCUUACUGUAUUGUCAUAUCCACCUACAGUAUUGCCAAAAUACCUCACUUACUCCCCAGAAGAAAAAUCAAGCUAAAGAAAGUGGAGCCACCUUCAACUCCCAAGUAUGAUGGGAAAGGGGGGGAUAGGAAGAUCGUCAUGCCAGCUACCAUUAGAAGAGAACUAGGUCAGCAGCUCAACUGCACUACACACUGAGGAAAAAUAAAAUUGGCUGAUCUCCUGUCUUCCUAGUUUUUCAUUCCCCAUCUCUAUGAUGAAGCUUGCUCAGUGACAGUGCAUUGCCCAGAGUGUCCUCAAACGAAUGCCAAGCAAGAUAGGAAAAGGGAAAUGGGGUCAGGUUAUGUGGGUUAAGCCCAGGAGAGAAUUGGGAAGUAUACUAAAGCCACCUGCAAUAGGGUAUAAAUACUAAUGGUGAUAGACACAUUCUCAAGGUGAAUGGAAACAUGGGAACAAAAAGAGAAACUGUACAAGUAAUAGCCAAGAAGCUGUUGUAGGAGACUGUCCCUGGCUGUGGGCUUCCAAGUAGUAUAGGAUCAGAUAAUGGACCCACUUCUACAUCAGCAGAAACACAGUCAAUAGGUAGAGCCUUAGGGAUGAAAUGGAAGCUCCACUGUAUAUAUAAUCCUCAGAAUUCAUCCCAGGUACAGCAGAUAAAUCAGACACUUAAAACUACUAUCCAAAUUGAUUUUAGAGACUGUUGAGAAGUGGCUCAACCUCCUUCCUUUGGCCCUCCUUCAUGCAUGUUGUACUUCUUACAAGGCUAGAUAUACUCCUUUUGAGAUUAUGUUUGGCAGGCUUCCCCCUUGCUUCCAUGAAACAAGGACCCCAUUUUGGCAGAAUUAACUAAUGAAUCCCUAUUAAGGUUUUUACCAGUGCUUCAAUAAGUCCAGGAAAAAGUCCAUCAUAAGGUACAAGAGGUCUUGCCUUAAAGUUUCCAUUUCCUACAUCACGCAUCACUGGUCAUAAAUAAAAACCAGCAUAUGAACAAGGCUUGUCUAUAUAAGGAAGCAAUGUCCAAGAAUGGCCCCCUAGUGGCUGCCCAUGCAGGCGACAUGAUCCCCAACCUACCUGCACUAGUCACCCACUAUAUAAACAAGCCCCUUCCCUACGAUUUCCUCUUUAAUAAAGAUCUCUCAUACUAGAUCUGUCAGUGUGCAGAGUGAUCCUUGGCAGAUGACAGUUUCUUUCAUUGGUGCUGUGACUCAGAUUGGGUGCUAGCCAGGUAGCACAAGAUAUACAAGACCAG